UUAAGUUAUUAAGGGCGCACGGUGGAUGCCUUGGCACUAGAAGCCGAUGAAGGACGUUACUAACGACGAUAUGCUUUGGGGAGCUGUAAGUAAGCUUUGAUCCAGAGAUUUCCGAAUGGGGAAACCCAGCAUGAGUUAUGUCAUGUUAUCGAUAUGUGAAUACAUAGCAUAUCAGAAGGCACACCCGGAGAACUGAAACAUCUUAGUACCCGGAGGAAGAGAAAGAAAAUUCGAUUCCCUUAGUAGCGGCGAGCGAAAUGGGAAGAGCCCAAACCAACAAGCUUGCUUGUUGGGGUUGUAGGACACUCUAUACGGAGUUACAAAGGACGACAUUAGACGAAUCAUCUGGAAAGAUGAAUCAAAGAAGGUAAUAAUCCUGUAGUCGAAAAUGUUGUCUCUCUUGAGUGGAUCCUGAGUACGACGGAGCACGUGAAAUUCCGUCGGAAUCUGGGAGGACCAUCUCCUAAGGCUAAAUACUCUCUAGUGACCGAUAGUGAACCAGUACCGUGAGGGAAAGGUGAAAAGCACCCCGGAAGGGGAGUGAAAUAGAACCUGAAACCGUGUGCUUACAAGUAGUCAGAGCCCGUUAAUGGGUGAUGGCGUGCCUUUUGUAGAAUGAACCGGCGAGUUACGAUUUGAUGCAAGGUUAAGCAGUAAAUGUGGAGCCGUAGCGAAAGCGAGUCUGAAUAGGGCGUUUAGUAUUUGGUCGUAGACCCGAAACCAGGUGAUCUACCCUUGGUCAGGUUGAAGUUCAGGUAACACUGAAUGGAGGACCGAACCGACUUACGUUGAAAAGUGAGCGGAUGAACUGAGGGUAGCGGAGAAAUUCCAAUCGAACCUGGAGAUAGCUGGUUCUCUCCGAAAUAGCUUUAGGGCUAGCCUCAAGUGAUGAUUAUUGGAGGUAGAGCACUGUUUGGACGAGGGGCCCCUCUCGGGUUACCGAAUUCAGACAAACUCCGAAUGCCAAUUAAUUUAACUUGGGAGUCAGAACAUGGGUGAUAAGGUCCGUGUUCGAAAGGGAAACAGCCCAGACCACCAGCUAAGGUCCCAAAAUAUAUGUUAAGUGGAAAAGGAUGUGGCGUUGCCCAGACAACUAGGAUGUUGGCUUAGAAGCAGCCAUCAUUUAAAGAGUGCGUAAUAGCUCACUAGUCGAGUGACACUGCGCCGAAAAUGUACCGGGGCUAAACAUAUUACCGAAGCUGUGGAUUGUCCUUUGGACAAUGGUAGGAGAGCGUUCUAAGGGCGUUGAAGCAUGAUCGUAAGGACAUGUGGAGCGCUUAGAAGUGAGAAUGCCGGUGUGAGUAGCGAAAGACGGGUGAGAAUCCCGUCCACCGAUUGACUAAGGUUUCCAGAGGAAGGCUCGUCCGCUCUGGGUUAGUCGGGUCCUAAGCUGAGGCCGACAGGCGUAGGCGAUGGAUAACAGGUUGAUAUUCCUGUACCACCUAUAAUCGUUUUAAUCGAUGGGGGGACGCAGUAGGAUAGGCGAAGCGUGCGAUUGGAUUGCACGUCUAAGCAGUAAGGCUGAGUAUUAGGCAAAUCCGGUACUCGUUAAG
rnacentral:rRNA from 1 species